UUUUAGUGCACAGGCAUAUUAAUAAAUUAGACACAGAAAAGAGGAACUGAGUAGAAGGAGUUGUUUGUAUCGAAACUGAGUGCGUGACGUGCAGCGGAACAAUAUAUAUAACCAUGCUGGCUUCUAAUGUUUUGAGAUCUGAGCUUCUCUGUGUGUGCUCAGUCUCCAUAUCCCGGUAUAUGUAAAAUUAAAGAUCAUUUUUUAAGUAAAAGACCACUUUGAGCCGUGUCUUUUUUGGCCGUAAAGAAUACAAAAGAACUGGGAUUUAAUACAGUCCUCAGGACAGUCUCAGGAGCUUGAAGGAGAUUUCAGGAGAUGCAGCCUCUAACAUCAUUCAGCAUGACCGUUUUUGUGGUGGCUCAGUGAUGGACUGGAGAGGCAUUUCAAUGAAGGGACACACAGACCUCUACAGUUGAAAAGAGAGUAGAAAAAAAGUCUUCUACAGCAACUCCACCACACAGAAAGUCAGACAGAGAUGUGGGAAGUCCUGAUAUGGACCAAUAACUGCUUCUUCCUUCCCGUGACCAUACUGUUCUUCUGCUGUGUGUGUUGUGCGCAGUGUUGGAAAAGUGAAGAGACGGGAAUAUGUCCACUUCAUAAAACAGCCACACGCUGCAGCCGAGUCCGACAUCUUCCGCUGUAGGAUACGACUAUGCAGCAAACUGGCGCGAAAUGACGUGCAGCUGCACUACAGCGAUGUUAAAGUGGCAGAGUUUACUUCUACGUUUAGAAGACAAAUUAUUGAAAUUAAAUAAUGAUAUUCAGCGAGUUUGAUUAUUUUUACAAUGUAACGCAAGUACAUUGUAAGUAACUGUAAUUAAAAUACCUAAAAAUGAACAGUAAUUAGUUACUCUACUUUUUCAGUGGAAAAAGUAAUUUAAUUACAGUAACGCGUUACUUAGUAACGCAUUACACCCAACACUGGUUGUGCGGUAUGUAAGUAUGUGUCAAAAGAAUAUUGUAUAUAUGUGAUCAGCUACAUGAAAUGUAUCCUUUUAUUAUUUGUCAUUAAGCAUAUUUCUACAUGACUUUUUACCUAGUAACUUGUGUGAUGAACUUGUACAGAUACUAACCGCUUCCUGUUUUAAAGAACAUUUAGAUGUAGAGAAGUGAAACCUCAGCUCUUUUACAAGAACAUACAGAUGUAGAAAAGGGGAAAAAACCCGCUGCUCUGAGUGACGUUGUUACCUUUGUACAUACACAUACACACACACACACACACACACACACACACACACACACACACACACACACACAGAAACAUCUUGUAUAAAUAAAGGACGGAGACAGUCAUGAGGCGCAGAUUCGUGCGUUCCAUGACUGCCCCUCGCGAGUGAAAAACUUCUGCAGUGUUGUGUUUUCUGACUCAGAUGUCUCAGCUGAAGAACGGCAGGGUGAUUUAAAGAAAUCCCCUGUCAGUAUGUCACAUCUUUUUCUGUCUGUGAGUGUGUGAACAAUUAAAAAAAUUAGUAAAAAAAUAAAUUAAAAGAAAAAAUAAAAGAAAAUAUAUAAGAAACAAAAGAAAUGAAAAUUAGCCAAGCAAUAGACUUGGCAAUAGACCUGCAAUAGACCUGCCUAGAAUGUACCCGACAAUCCAGCACCCACAUGACCCAGACCUAAAUAAGCAGUUGACCAAACAGAGAAUUGAAAAGAAAAAUAAACAUGGA